rnacentral:pre_miRNA from 1 species
AGUGGAAUAACUGGGUCAAAUGGUAGUUCUAUUUCAAGUAUUUUGAGGAAUCUUCAUAAUGCUUUCCAGAGCAGUUGCACCAAUUUGCAGUCCCACUGGCAAU